GACGAACGCUGGCGGCGUGCCUAAUACAUGCAAGUAGAACGCUGAAGAGAGGAGCUUACUCUUCUUGGAUGAGUUGUGAACGGGUGAGUAACGCGUAGGUAACCUGCCUUGUAGCGGGGGAUAACUAUUGGAAACGAUAGCUAAUACCGCAUGACAAUGGAUGACACAUGUCAUUUAUUUGAAAGGGGCAAUUGCUCCACUACAAGAUGGACCUGCGUUGUAUUAGCUAGUAGGUGAGGUAAUGGCUCACCUAGGCGACGAUACAUAGCCGACCUGAGAGGGUGAUCGGCCACACUGGGACUGAGACACGGCCCAGACUCCUACGGGAGGCAGCAGUAGGGAAUCUUCGGCAAUGGGGGCAACCCUGACCGAGCAACGCCGCGUGAGUGAAGAAGGUUUUCGGAUCGUAAAGCUCUGUUGUAAGUCAAGAACGGGUGUGAGAGUGGAAAGUUCACACUGUGACGGUAGCUUACCAGAAAGGGACGGCUAACUACGUG
rnacentral:rRNA from 1 species